ensembl:lncRNA
UUUCAGUUUUGGAAGUUUCUAUAAACUUACUUUCAAACUCACUGAUUCUUUCUUUCUUUCUUUUUUUUUUUUUUAGUUUUUUAUUUUUAAAAUUUUAAAAUCUUUAUGGCACCAGGGGUCAAAUACUUUGCUCUAUCAAAAGGGGAAAGGAUGGGAAAAAAAUCUUCACAUAUUGAGGUAUGGGAAUGUCAUUCUGGCUUUAUAUAUGGCUUAACUUGACUGACCAGAGUGGCCUGUUUUGUGGCUUAUUAAACAUACAUUGCUGGGCUUCCCUGGUGGUCCGGUGGUUAGGGUUGCUCAGGCCAGUGCAGGGGAUACAGGUUCAGUCCUUGCUCUAGGAAGAUCCCACAAGCCUCGUGGCAACUAUGCCCAUGUACCACGCCUACCGAGCCUGCGCUGUAGAGCCCAGGAGCCUCUACUGAGCCCACACUCCCCAAGUACGGAAGUUCGAGUGCCUUGAGCCUGUGCUCUGAAACAAGAGAAGCCACCACAAGGAGCAACCUGCGGGCUGCAGCUGGAGAGUAGCCCCUAUGUGCCACGGCUAGGGAAAAGCCUGUGCACCAGCGGAGGCCCAGCGCGGCCAGAAUCAAAGAAGCAUUUUUUAAAAACCCAUACAUUGUACAUCUGGUUUCGCCAUUGAGGAGAAGGACGCAUUUACCAAUCAAAACAGUCUUUUGUUCAGACAUCCACGGCAAAAGAAGGUGGCUGUUGUGGACAUGAUUUCAGACAUGAUUGUGUAUGGCUGAGAACCUGAAUCUUCUGAACUGCCCGGGACUUACAGAUGCUGGCAGCCAUUCUCAAGACAGCAUCUGCUAGCAGCUGCCAACUGCAACCUUGCUGUCUGAAGGUCUCCUCUUAUCAUCGUGAACCUUUUCCCUUAACUUUAGGAACAGUAGUGACAAGAGAGCUCAAACUAUAGACUCUUAGCAGAAGGCACCAGAUUCUUUGGGUAUAUAUCAAUAUCCCUGGAAAAAGGGAAACCCAAAUAAAUAGAGUAAUUCAUUGCGUUACAAGACAUUUCUACAGAGGACCCUCUCCAUAACUUACUGUCCUGGGUGCCAUUCUUUCCUCAGCCAUGUUUCAUUCAUUUUCAACCUUUGAGUCCAUGAAAGACAUUCUUGAAUGUCCAUGAAAGACAUUCUUCAUUUACCUGGCAGUGUUUUCAUUUUCUAGCAUUUUCUUUUGAGUCUUUCUUAGAAUUUUUAUCUUUCUGGUUACAUUACCUAUCUUUUUUUAGAUAUUGUCCACUUUUUCCAUUAGAGUCCUUAACAUACUAAUUGUAGUUAUUUUAAAUUCUUGGUCUAAUAAUUAAAAUUUCUCUGUGCUAGCUGAGUUAGUUUCCUGAUGCUUGGCGUGUGUCUUCAGUCUGAUUUUUCCUUGCCUUUUAAUAUGCCUUGUAAUUUUUUAUUGAAAUUCAGACAUUGUGUAUUAGAAAACGAGGUGAGUAGGUGUUUGGAUGAUGUUCUGUAUGUAUAUGACUAGCAGUUAGGCUGUGUUUAUUGUAGCUAUAGUGUAAGAGGCAGGCUUCCCUGGUGGUUCAGUGCAAAACAGCCUGCCUGCCGUUGUAGGAGAUACGAGUUCGAUCAUCUGGGAAGAUCCCCUGGAGAAGGAAAUGGCAACCCAUUCUAGUAUUCUUGUGUGGGAAAUCCCUUGGACAGAACAGCCUGGUGAGGUACAGUCCAUGGGGUUGCAAAGAGUUGGACACAACUCAGCAACUGAAGAACAGCAUCAAUAGUGAAGUUCAGUUCAGUUCAGGAUGCUUCUGUUUACUCUGGUAUCCUCAUUUUUGUCUCCUCUGUUGUCCUUGAGUUUCCCUAGAAACUCCUUACAUAGUCUGAUUAUUGAAGUUCACUCAAUUGUGAUUUAUUGUUAUUAUUCUCCAUCCCUGUUAAUGUGGAGAAGGCAAACAUUCCAUACUCUCAUGAUUUAAUCUCUGUUUAAAAAGUGGAUCAGAAUUCCUGGACUAUGACCUCCAGGAGAAACUGGCUGUGGGGAGUAGAGUCAGCUCACUGCCCUUCUAGAGAUAAUGCUCCAGUGAAGUCGUUUUCCUUAAGAUCGAGUCUUUGUUUUGGAGAGUUGUAUUUUAAGGUGGUUCCUUUUUUUGUUUCAUCUUCUGCAAAGUAUAUGGGCGCUUUCUUCCUGGUUUUCAUGAGUGGGAAUGUGGUGGGGUUCUUGGAGGUAAAACUUACAAAUGUAUCGAGGCUCCCUGAAGACUGGGUCCUCAGGAGUUUUCAGGCUAAAGCGUCAGCGCUCACCCUCCAGCACUGUGUGGGUCUAGGCAGCGCUCACCCUCCAGCACUGUGUGGGUCUAGGCAGCGCUCACCCUCCAGCACCGUGUGGGUCUAGGCAGCGCUCACCCUCCAGCACCGUGUGGGUCUAGGCAGCGCUCACCCUCCAGCACUGUGUUGGUCUAGGCAGCGCUCACCCUCCAGCACUGUGUUGGUGUAGGCGGCGCUCACCCUCCAGCACUGUGUUGGUCACAGUGUUUGUGUUCCUACCAGUUUCUGGCUCCAGUACCUUCUGCUCUUGAUAAGCUGUGAUUCUCUGUUGUUCCCCUCCAGUUUUCAGCGCAGUCCCCUGGAGAAGGAAAUGGAAACCCACUCCAGCACUCUUGCCUAGAAAAUUCCAUGGAUGGAGGAGCCUGGCGGGCUACCAUCCAUGGGGUCACAAUGAGUUGGACACGACUGGGCAACUUCACUUUUCAGGGCAGUAGUUUUCUUUGUGACCUCAAUUCUUUGAUAAAUCUAAGGACAGUUGUUGAUUUUUAGUUUUUCAAGUUUCUUCUCUUUAUGAAGAGGGGAAUUAAAACUUCUAAUCUCUUCAUAUGUUGUCAUGAGAACUGGAAAUACCAUUUAUUAUUAUUAUUAUACUUCUCAACUCCAGAAUUUUCUUUUUUAAAAACAGUAUUUAUUUAUUAGUAGUCUCUAUUUGAUGAGUCACUUUAUCAUCUUUCUCUUUAAUUUAUAGAAGUGAUUUUCAUUUGUUUCUUGAAUCCAUUUGUGAUAACUGUCUUUUUGUGCUAAAUGGGACAUCUCGGUCCUCUAGUAGACACUUUUUAAAAACUGCUUUUUUCCUUGUGUACAGGUAACACUUCUGUGUUUCUUUGUAUAGUAUUGGUUUUUUUGAAAACUGGACAUUUUAGGAAAUAUGUAGCUUGUGCUCAGUUGCUCAGUCAUACCUGACUCUUUGCAAUCUCAUGGACUAUAUAGCCCGUCAGGCUCCUCUGUCCAUGGGAAUUUCCAGGCAAGAAGACUGGAGUGCGUUUCCAUUUCCUACUCCAGGGGAUCUUCCUGACCCAGGGACUGAACCUACGUCUCUUGUAUCUCUUACACUGGCAGGUGGAUUCUUUACCACUGCGCAGCCUGGGAAGCUCCUAAUAUGAACCACAGCAAGUAUGAAUUUGAGUCUUCUUUGAUGUUGUUCUGUUUAUUGUUAAUGAUUUGUUUGGACUAAUUCUGUGGAGUCUUAUCUUUCCCCACAGUUUGUGACCUCUGAUGUCUCUGCUAAGGCUUUCUUUUUCAUUAUUACUUUUAUUUUCAAACCUAAUUUCAUAGGGGAUGCUCCCAUGUCAGAACUGCUUAGUGAUAUCUGAAAAAUUAGAGAUUGCUUCCAUCUACCUUGAGCUAUGAUAUCUCACGUAUAUGUUUCAUAUAUAUAUUAUAUAUCAUAUAUAUAUAAGAUAUUACAUCUUAAUAUGUUAUAUUAGGCGUCUCCCC